rnacentral:rRNA from 1 species
UUGAUCCUGCCGGACCCGACUGCUAUCAGAGUGAGAUUAAGCCAUGCGAGUUAACGUAGCAAUACGUGGCAUACGGCUCAGUAACACGUAGUCAACAUGCCCAGGGGACGUGGAUAACUUCGGGAAACUGAGGAUAAACCGCGAUAGGCCAAGAUUUCUGGAAUGGAUCAUGGCUUAAAUCUAUAUGGCCCCUGGAUUGGACUGCGGCCGAUCAGGCUGUUGGUGGGGUAAUGGCCCACCAAACCUGUAACCGGUACGGGCUCUGAGAGAAGGAGCCCGGAGAUGGGCACUGAGACAAGGGCCCAGGCCCUAUGGGGCGCAGCAGGCGCGAAAAUUCUGCAAUAGGCGAAAGCUUGACAGAGUUACUCUGAGUGAUGCCCGCUAAGGGCAUCUUUUGGCACCUCUAAAAAUGGUGCAGAAUAAGGGGUGGGCAAGUCUGGUGUCAGCCGCCGCGGUAAUACCAGCACCCCGAGUUGUCGGGACGAUUAUUGGGCCUAAAGCAUCCGUAGCCUGUUCUGCAAGUCCUCCGUUAAAUCCACCUGCUCAACGGAUGGGCCGCGGAGGAUACCGCAGAGCUAGGAGGCGGGAGAGGCAAACGGUACUCAGUGGGUAGGGGUAAAAUCCAUUGAUCUACUGAAGACCACCAGUGGCGAAGGCGGUUUGCCAGAACGCGCUCGACGGUGAGGGAUGAAAGCUGGGGGAGCAAACCGGAUUAGAUACC